rnacentral:piRNA from 1 species
GGGUAGUCAGAGAAAAUGGCCUUUGC